AAAUCUUCAAAGCAAAUCUUUUGUUAAUUCAACUGGUUCUGCUUUGGUAUUGGAGGUUAUUGCAGCUUCACACCUGCUCCUCUUUGUGCAUUAGCUGGAUCUCAGUGUUAUGCUUGGUUCCACUCAGCGUGAUAAGUAUCUAUCGCUGAGGACACUGUAACAGGUGGCCAAGGUAAAUGCAGAUGAACCGCUUCCAACAGUCCAUUCACUUGGACAAAACUCUUAUG
rnacentral:misc_RNA from 1 species